rnacentral:rRNA from 1 species
CUUGCUUCUCUUGAGAGCGGCGGACGGGUGAGUAAUGCCUAGGAAUCUGCCUGGUAGUGGGGGAUAACGUUCGGAAACGGACGCUAAUACCGCAUACGUCCUACGGGAGAAAGCAGGGGACCUUCGGGCCUUGCGCUAUCAGAUGAGCCUAGGUCGGAUUAGCUAGUUGGUGGGGUAAUGGCUCACCAAGGCGACGAUCCGUAACUGGUCUGAGAGGGUGAUCAGUCACACUGGAACUGAGACACGGUCCAGACUCCUACGGGAGGCAGCAGUGGGGAAUAUUGGACAAUGGGCGAAAGCCUGAUCCAGCCAUGCCGCGUGUGUGAAGAAGGUCUUCGGAUUGUAAAGCACUUUAAGUUGGGAGGAAGGGUUGUAGAUUAAUACUCUGCAAUUUUGACGUUACCGACAGAAUAAGCACCGGCUAACUCUGUGCCAGCAGCCGCGGUAAUACAGAGGGUGCAAGCGUUAAUCGGAAUUACUGGGCGUAAAGCGCGCGUAGGUGGUUUGUUAAGUUGGAUGUGAAAUCCCCGGGCUCAACCUGGGAACUGCAUUCAAAACUGACUGACUAGAGUAUGGUAGAGGGUGGUGGAAUUUCCUGUGUAGCGGUGAAAUGCGUAGAUAUAGGAAGGAACACCAGUGGCGAAAGCGACCACCUGGACUAAUACUGACACUGA